GUCCAACUCUGACUGAUCCAAAGAUACAAGUAACCCCCAGUAUAUAACCUGUGUUAAAAAGAUUUAUCUUUCUAAAUAGAAGCUACACAACAUAAACUAGAAAGUUCAAUCCCAUCCUCUUCUGUCUUCGUACACAAGUGAAAACAAAUAACUUGUACAGUUCCUCUUUCCCUUUCACCUACACCAAGAGUUCAGUAGACUCGAAAGUGGGCAACGGCAAAUGAAUAUUUGGUUUUAACCAAUUAUCUCUGCAACGGUAGUAAUGCUGGUCAUUGCUAAAACUUCAACAUGUUCAUUGUUUAUAGUCACAUAAGAACGGACUACAUUCAAAAGGCCCUCCAUCAUAAACUAUCUAGCCAGCCAAACAUCAAAAUUAUGCAUCCACGUCACUGAUUGGACUCCAAGCACCUCUACAAGUUGUGCUCUUUAAUACUUUUGGGAGAUAUCCAGCAUGUCCGUACAAUACAUGUUUUAUCCCAAAUGCUAUAUAGGCUUACUGUUUCUCAACUUCUCUAACUGAUGAUUGUUCAUACAUGGUUGAUUCCAAAU
rnacentral:misc_RNA from 1 species